AUGGGAAGCCUUAAGAACGAGAUGAGAGGUUUGACGGAGGAACAUCAGCUCUGCGAGAAGACAGACGAUGGGGAAAAGCAAGUAAACUCAAAGCCGAACUCCACAGCGGAGGGAGGCUCUUGUCCAGAAGACAAUCAGCCAGAACUUUUUCUGAAUACCAAGUCAGAAGAGGACACGGUGAAAAAUGCAAUUUCCAAAGAAGUGCUUUCAGACGAGGAUAAAUCAAUCACAAAAAACAGUAAAGAUGAGACUGCAGAUCAUGAAGCAACACAAAACAGCAGGACAAUAGCUAACAGUGAUGGAGAAGUGCAGAGCCAAGAUGAACACAAAAGUGACGCAGCCACUGACAGCAUCUCUUUUCCGGUGCCACCGACUCCGGACCCCUUUGACCCCCGCUCACCAGCCCCCUUCGGGCAACACCACAUGCGCACUCAGGUGAGCCUGGAGGUGGUGCAGUGCUGCUCAGCAGCCACCAGCCCCAUGACUCCUCCCCAGGGUGGCAGCUCCUUUUUCUUUCCGAGUACUUUUGGGAAAUCUGACGUUGGUGGGGAGACCAAGGAGGCCGGCCUGCAGGUGGGUCAGCUGGUGGAGUCGUGCUCUGUCGCCACCUCCCCUAUGACCCCAAAAACACCGUUUGGCACGGCUUUCCCGGCGCUGGUUGGAAAGGAAACUGUGCAGAUGAAGGAAAAGGAGAAAAACGGACAGGAAAAGAGCAACAAUAGCCAACAAGAAGUCUCGACUGCAACGAGUCCAAAGGAAGUGGAGUCACAGGAAACAAAUGCUGUCACAAAAGAGUCAAGUGGAUCUCCGGAGAUUCCCAGCAGCUUUCUGACUGCUGGGUCUCUUGAUUCACAAGGGACCGUGAAGAGCAGCAACCAGCAGAAUAAGCAACAGAGGAUGGGAAGCAUGGAUCAAGACAUUACGAUCUUGGUGACACACCAUGGCAAUAAUGGAGAGGACGAUGAAGAAAAGAUUGAGUCAUAUGUAAUUGAAGCUGAGACGAUAAAAGUAGAUGAAUAUGAGGAAGGUGGAGGGAACAGUAAUGACGAAAAAAGCAAAGAUGAAGAGACGCAUCAUGCUCCAGACCCAGAACACAAACAAAAACAGGCCAAAGAAGAAGGAAAACCGUGCAUGAGAGCUGAAAGUUUGGAGGUGACUGACAGAAAAGACGCGUGUGAAGAGACGGCCGACGCUUCCGCGAUCAAAUCUCCAGUUCCUGAAUCUCCGGCUCCCUUCGGCUGCCACAACAUCCGCACGCAGGUGAGCCUGGAGGUGGUGCAGUGUCAGUCUGCAGCGACCAGCCCAUGA
rnacentral:lncRNA from 1 species